AUUGAACGCUGGCGGCAGGCCUAACACAUGCAAGUCGAACGAGUGGCGGACGGGUGAGUAAUGUCUGGGAAACUGCCCGAUGGAGGGGGAUAACUACUGGAAACGGUAGCUAAUACCGCAUACCAUCGGAUGUGCCCAGAUGGGAUUAGCUAGUAGGUGGGGUAACGGCUCACCUAGGCGACGAUCCCUAGCUGGUCUGAGAGGAUGACCAGCCACACUGGGACCGAGGAAACGUCCCGACCCCUAAGGGAGGGCGGAAGUGGGAAUAUUGGCAAAAGGGGGGAAAGCUGAUGGCGCCAUGGCGGCGGGAUGGAGGAGGGCCUCGGGUUUUAAAGGUAUUUCCGGCGGGAAGCGUUACUCGCAGAAGAAGCACCGGCUAACUCCGUGCCAGCAGCCGCGGUAAUUC
rnacentral:rRNA from 1 species